rnacentral:rRNA from 1 species
CCAGACUCCUACGGGAGGCAGCAGUGAGGAAUAUUGGUCAAUGGCCGGAAGGCUGAACCAGCCAAGCCGCGUGAAGGACGAAGGUGCCAAGCAUUGUAAACUUCUUUUGUCAAGGGACAAAAUCAGGCUCGAGAGCCUGACCGAGGGUACUUGAAGAAAAAGCAUCGGCUAACUCCGUGCCAGCAGCCGCGGUAAUACGGAGGAUGCGAGCGUUAUCCGGAUUUAUUGGGUUUAAAGGGUGCGUAGGCGGACUGUUAAGUCAGGGGUAAAGCCCGGGGCCCCACCCCCGGCGAGCCGUUGAAACUGGCUGUCUUGAGAUGUCGAGAGGUAUGCGGAAUGCGCAGUGUAGCGGUGAACUGCUUAGAUAUCGCGCAGAACUCCGAUUGCGAAGGCAGCAUGCCGGCUCCACACUGACGCUGAGGCACGAAAGCGUGGGUAUCGAACAGGAUUAGAUACCCCCGUA